AGGAGAAGACAAAUGCAGUUUUUGCUCUAGUCCAUUUGUGGGAUAGAGAGGCAGGGAAGGGGGAGGGCCCAAAUUGCACGCAAUCUCUCCUCCCCCGCUUCUCCAGGCAUCCAGUCCUAAACUAGUCAGCCCGGGCUCCUCUAACCUCCACUUCUCCCAGACAGACAGCCGAGGCUCCGUCUCUGCCUAGACCGGGUGAAGGGGAGCGGUGGAUCAAAGGCAGGAGCGAUGCCGGGGCAAGCCUGGCACUUUCUCCUCCUGCUGAUCACAGGACUGGGAUGUCCCAAGAACAAUCGUGCCCAACAGCAGCAGAAGCGGGCACUAUCCCAUCUGCAACAGACUCAUCAGCAAAGAGGAAUGAUUUUCAGCUCAGUAGAAACAAUCUAUAAAAUUUGACUCUUAAUGAGAUGGAAAGGUGGUCCAUGCCCUUUAACAUAGGGACCUUGUUUUGAAAAUUGUCCAAAUGACCUCUUGUGUGAAAAAAGCCUUAUUGAGAACUACUGUACCUAACAGAAGAAUUUGAUCUCAGCUAUUAACAUUUAAUUGCAAGGAUGGCUCUACUGGCUAGCUUUUGCUCUUAUUAACAAUGAACCAAUCAUCCUGCCAAUCUAAUGGCUAAGCAGGUAAGUUCCCAAUAUAAUAGCAAUUAGGCUGGUAACAAUGUUUUCCAUUAGAAUGCCUGGUAAACUAGGUACAGUAAUAUGUCUGGAAUCAUCCCCUAGAAUAACAAUCCUUUAAAUCCUUUUCCAUAAUUUCACUUGAUGUUAACAUCUGAUUUCCUAGGAUAAAUGCAAAGAUUGUUUUUCAGUCACUUCAGUUGUGCCCAAUUCUUUGUGACCCUACUUGGAGUUUUCUUUGCAAAGAUACUAGGGUGGUUUGCCAUUUCCUUUUCUAGGUCAUUUUUCAGAUGAGGAAAUUAAGGCAAAUAGGUUUAAAUGAUUUGCUCAGGGUCACACAGAUAGUAAGUGUUUGAAGACAGAUUUGAAUUCAGGAAGAUUAGUCUUCCUGACUCAAGGUCCACAUAUCUCUAUCCAGUGUACCACCUGGUAGCCCAAAUGAAAGGUUAGGCAUAUUAAUUCUCUUAAACUUAUGAAAGACUUUAAAAAUGUUUGGUUUGAAAGUUUUGUUUGGGAAUUGUGGUUCCUAUUUUAUGACUGUUUUGGAUCAGUUACAAAAUAUUAAGAAUAUUAAGUAUAUAUUAGAUUUAUUUGAAAUAUUUAGUUAAUUAAGGCCUGUUGACUCAGUGGAAAGAUACAGCUUAAAGUUAUUUUCAAUUUUAUUAAAGAUUAAGAGUGUGUAUAGCACAAUGGAGAAAGAACUGGCCUUCAAGUCUGAGAUAGGGCCUCUGUCAUAUGCUAGGAUCUGCCUGAGCCUGAUUAAGUCUCUUAAUCACUCAGUGGUUUAGGUAGCAAUUUAAUAUUGUAAUUUACAAAAAAGUUAUUAAUCUGAAUUGAUAGAAAUAGUUUCCUAAUUAAGGACAUUUCCUGUUUACUGGAAUAAAAUUCUAGACUUAUUUCCUUUCA
rnacentral:lncRNA from 1 species